GACGAACGCUGGCGGCGUGCUCAACACAUGCAAGACGAACGGAAAGGCCCUGUGUUUGUGGGGUGCUCGAGUGGCGAACGGGUGAGUAACACGUGAGUACCCUGCCGUUGACUUUGGGCAAACUUCAUGAGACUCUGGCGAAUACGGGAUAGGAGUUACUGCUGCAGGGUGGGGGUGGGUAUGUUUCGGCGGUUGGGGACGGACUAGCGCGUUUCCUGGUGCGUGGUGGGGUAGUGGCUUCCCAAGGCUGUGACGGGAAACCGGCCUGGGAGGGUGACCGGCCACAUUGGGACUGUGAUGCGGCCCCGCCUCCUACGGGAGGCAGCAGUGGGGAAUAUUGCCCAAUGGGCGGAACCCUGAUGCAGCAGCGCCGCGUGCGGGAUGACGGCCUUCGGGUUGUAAACCGCUUUCGCCUGUGACGAAGCGUGAGUGACGGUAAUGGGUAAAGAAGCACCGGCUAACUACGUG
rnacentral:rRNA from 1 species